GGCAACAGCUCAAAUUUGAAAUCUGGCGUCUUUGGCGUCCGAGUUGUAAUUUGCAGAGGGCGCUUUGGCAUUGGCAGCGGUCCAAGUUCCUUGGAACAGGACGUCACAGAGGGUGAGAAUCCCGUACGUGGUCGCUAGCCUUUACCGUGUAAAGCCCCUUCGACGAGUCGAGUUGUUUGGGAAUGCAGCUCUAAAUGGGAGGUAAAUUUCUUCUAAAGCUAAAUACUGGCCAGAGACCGAUAGCGCACAAGUAGAGUGAUCGAAAGAUGAAAAGCACUUUGGAAAGAGAGUUAAAAAGCACGUGAAAUUGUUGAAAGGGAAGCGCUUGCAGCCAGACUUGCCUGUAGUUGCUCAUCCGGGUUUUUACCCGGUGCACUCUUCUGCGGGCAGGCCAGCAUCAGUUUGGGCGGUUGGAUAAAGGUCUCUGUCAUGUACCUCUCUUCGGGGAGAACUUAUAGGGGAGACGACAUGCAACCAGCCUGGACUGAGGUCCGCGCAUCUGCUAGGAUGCUGGCGUAAUGGCUGUAAGCGGCCCGUCUUGAAACACGGACCAAGGAGUCUAACAUCUAUGCGAGUGUUUGGGUGUCAAGCCCGAGCGCGUAAUGAAAGUGAACGGAGGUGGGAACCUUUCGGGGUGCACCAUCGACCGAUCCUGAUGUCUUCGGAUGGAUUUGAGUAAGAGCAUAGCUGUUGGGACCCGAAAGAUGGUGAACUAUGCUUGAAUAGGGUGAAGCCAGAGGAAACUCUGGUGGAGGCUCGCAGCGGUUCUGACGUGCAAAUCGAUCGUCAAAUUUGGGCAUAGGGGCGAAAGACUAAUCGAACUAUCUAGUAGCUGGUUCCUGCCGAAGUUUCCCUCAGGAUAGCAGUAACGUUUUCAGUUUUAUGAGGUAAAGCGAAUGAUUAGAGGCCUGGGGGUUGAAACAACCUU
rnacentral:rRNA from 1 species